AUUGAACGCUGGCGGCAUGCUUUACACGUGCAAGUCGAACGGUAACAGGCCGCAAGGUGCUGACGAGUGGCGAACGGGUGAGUAAUGCAUCGGAACGUGCCCAGUCGUGGGGGAUAACGCAGCGAAAGCUGUGCUAAUACCGCAUACGAUCUAUGGAUGAAAGCGGGGGACCGUAAGGCCUCGCGCGAUUGGAGCGGCUGAUGUCGGAUUAGGUAGUUGGUGGGGUAAAGGCUCACCAAGCCAACGAUCUGUAGCUGGUCUGAGAGGACGACCAGCCACACUGGGACUGAGACACGGCCCAGACUCCUACGGGAGGCAGCAGUGGGGAAUUUUGGACAAUGGGCGCAAGCCUGAUCCAGCAAUGCCGCGUGCAGGAAGAAGGCCUUCGGGUUGUAAACUGCUUUUGUACGGAACGAAACGGUCCUGGUUAAUACCUGGGGCUAAUGACGGUACCGUAAGAAUAAGCACCGGCUAACUACGUGCCAGCCGCCGCGGUAA
rnacentral:rRNA from 1 species